UUGCAUUAAAUGAUAUACUAGGACUACCCCUCAAGUCAUUAUUUCAGCUGAUACAAUCACGAGCUUCUGAUGCG